AUCAGUGCUGGUAAAGAAGGCUAUUCUUUUUUGUAAAUUCUCUGUAUCAAACUCCACUAUAUCACAAGUAUAUUAGAGCGGGAACAGCUGAAAAGAAUGUGAUGUGAAGGGGCAAACGUAAUGCCUCCAUACACAACCAAAAAAAAAAAAAUAAAGAAAACUUUAUUAAACCGAGUAUGUUUACAGACUUUAAACCAACAGUAAUACAGAUUUAAAAACCAAUAGCUAAAUAUUUAAAUACAUUAAAUAUUUGAAUUUAAUAAGUUUUACAUUUUUAAUAUAUUAUUUGCAUAAAAAGUAAAUAAAUUCAAAGAAAGAUUUGUAUCUGUUGCAGACAAUAACUAUAAUAUUCAAAUCAAAAUAUUAUUAUACAAAUUUAGAAAAAUAAAUGAGAAAAAGGAUUAAAAAUCCGAACCUGCAUUACCUUAUUUCUAAAAGGAAAUCAUGAACCCGUUUCUGAUCCAUUGAUUUAAGGGCAUCUUAAACGAACAAGAACAUUGAUCAAGUUAACUAAAUGUUUCCUCAUAAACAUGGCUUCAUCCAAAACAAAACCUCAUACCAUUAGAAUUUGCCUUUUAAGCAGAAGCUGCUGCAACCUUCUUCCUUGGUGCUGCUUCAAUACCUAUACAUCACCUCCAAUAAAAAAUAAGAACAUUUUGAAAGAAAAAAAAACCCAAAAUUUCUUACAAGAAUAGAAAUACGCAAUGGAACUAAAAUCAGAAAGCAAUGAGCCUAAGGACAUUAGCAUUUUCCUACCUUCCCUGAAACAUAUCUUGAACCUACGAGGAACAUGGUGAAGAUACCUCUAUACACCAGUGAUGGAGAUGUUAGCCUCAUCUAAUUGAAACCAACAGCUAGAAACACAAAUAAUCUCACAAGUUUAAAAACCCAAAAUAACCAUAAGACAAUGAUGCUUUGAACCCCUGUGAAAUUAUCAAAACAAAAGACAAAGGCAAUGUUUGCAAAAGAACAAUAAAUAAAAUCCCUUCUUCAAUCUUCCAGCCACCAAAUCAAAGGGAAAAAUUCCGUUACUUCUUAAUACAGAUUUGUCAAAACAACAUAAAUGAAUCAUUAUUUCAGAAACCCAAAAAAAGCAAAAUUAUAAAGAAAUAAUCUGAAAUUAAAAUAAGGGAAAAAAUAGAGAGCACAAUUUACCUAGAAUUAAAAGAAACCCUAACAGAUCGAGAGAAAAGGAGUAGUUAUGGUGGGUGAAUUCAGUGCAAUGAAAUGAAAAGGAAAAAGAAGUGUGAUUGGGGCGCGCGACGGAUAUGAGAAGAAGAGGGAGUAACGAAUGGGUAACCAAAAAUUAUUUUUUGAGAGUGAGCGGGAUUUUGAUUUCCCCUUUUUGGUAUAAAAAAUAAUUGUCUUUUGCGGGUUUUCACAAAAAAAGCCAUUAUAGCUCAAAUUUUAA
rnacentral:lncRNA from 1 species